rnacentral:rRNA from 1 species
UACGAAGGGGGCUAGCGUUGUUCGGAAUUACUGGGCGUAAAGCGCGCGCAGGCGGCUAUCCAAGUCAGUGGUGAAAGCCCGGAGCUCAACUCCGGAACUGCCAUUGAAACUGUUUAGCUGGAGUAUGAGAGAGGUGAGUGGAAUUCCCAGUGUAGAGGUGAAAUUCGUAGAUAUUCGCAAGAACACCAGUGGCGAAGGCGGCUCACUGGCCCGAUACUGACGCUGAGGCACGAAAGCGUGGGGAGCAAACAGGG